GGGGACCAUCCUCCAAGGCUAAAUACUCCUGACUGACCGAUAGUGAACCAGUACCGUGAGGGAAAGGCGAAAAGAACCCCGGCGAGGGGAGUGAAAAAGAACCUGAAACCGUGUACGUACAAGCAGUGGGAGCCUCUUAAUGGGGUGACUGCGUACCUUUUGUAUAAUGGGUCAGCGACUUAUAUUCUGUAGCAAGGUUAACCGAAUAGGGGAGCCGAAGGGAAACCGAGUCUUAACUGGGCGUUAAGUUGCAGGGUAUAGACCCGAAACCCGGUGAUCUAGCCAUGGGCAGGUUGAAGGUUGGGUAACACUAACUGGAGGACCGAACCGACUAAUGUUGAAAAAUUAGCGGAUGACUUGUGGCUGGGGGUGAAAGGCCAAUCAAACCGGGAGAUAGCUGGUUCUCCCCGAAAGCUAUUUAGGUAGCGCCUCGUGAAUUCAUCUCCGGGGGUAGAGCACUGUUUCGGCAAGGGGGUCAUCCCGACUUACCAACCCGAUGCAAACUGCGAAUACCGGAGAAUGUUAUCACGGGAGACACACGGCGGGUGCUAACGUCCGUCGUGAAGAGGGAAACAACCCAGACCGCCAGCUAAGGUCCCAAAGUCAUGGUUAAGUGGGAAACGAUGUGGGAAGGCCCAGACAGCCAGGAUGUUGGCUUAGAAGCAGCCAUCAUUUAAAGAAAGCGUAAUAGCUCACUGGUCGAGUCGGCCUGCGCGGAAGAUGUAACGGGGCUAAACCAUG
rnacentral:rRNA from 1 species